GCCAUGUCAACAUCUUCUUCGCAAGCUCUCACUCUCUGGACGUCUCCACCAUGGGUUUGUUCUAGUUAUUCUUCAUCAAUCGCAACGAUCUCUGUUCUUCAUCGAUCUCGAGGCUAAUCGAACUCGAACUCAAUCUCUCUCGCUAUUAGGUCCCAUCUUGAGUUUGCAAAUCGCAAAUCCGAAAUCGAGUUUGAAUCAGAUCAGAUCUAUCUUGCUCUUUAUCUCAGGUUUCAAGAUUGAUGAUUGAGGACUCUGGAGCUGUAAAUGGGGUUAUAUUGGCUGAUGGGAC